GUGCUCACUUUGGCAGCACAUAUGCUAAAUUGAUGAUAUAGAGAUUAGUAUGGCCCCUGCGCACGGAGGACAUGCAAAUUCAUCAUGUGAAGUGUCCCAUAUUA